UUUCCAUUCUGCACUCAGCUUUGCAGUCUCCAAUGUCAUUGAUAUCAUGCAGCUAGUUGCUCAUACUGUUUCAAUUUUUGCUCAUUCCUUCACUUUUUCCGGACAAGGUUGCGUCCUAACUGAACGUUAACAGGGAUAUUCAGCAGAGGUGAUCAUGAGAGCAAAAAAUCUGAUUUAAAGCCCGCUCGUUCAUAAACAACACGUCACUUGUAACAUGAGGGGAAAAUGCUGCAGUGCUAGAGCUGCAAUCUGUCUGACUGCAGGAGAAGAACCUGGUCAACACAACAAGAAAGGUGCCUUCCAAUCUCACUGGCUCCAGGCUGGAUUCACCACUGGAUCACUGAGGCUCAUGAUGUAUUGGUUUGGCAAAACUGUAGAUGACUUGUAUGUUCAGAAAUGUAUAACAGAGUUUUAGCAAAUAAGAGGACAUAACAAACAUGGCUGUCUAUAGUUGCUUACUGUAUCGUUAAUAGCUUAGCUAAUGGAGCUCUAAUUCGAAAUGUUAUCCAGAGCAGCCAUGUUAGUUGAGUGUUUUACUCUUUAUAUCCAAGUUGCUAAACAUUACUUUAAAACAGGCAUCUGCUGAAACUCUAUUCAUUUCAAAUGUGUCACAUCGGGAGAAAAACUAAAUGUGGUAUAAUGUACUUCUCCUCGCUUAGCCAUGCUCAUUUAUCCAAUUUGAUCCUCUUUAAUACUUUAGAAAGUUUACAUCAGUCAAUGCAAAAAUAUUAAUUAAGAUUAACUGAAGUUUUCUUGUCUUUUCCUUCAGUGUUCUCUCUUAUCCAUGUACAUACUUAGAAGUCAAAAUGUUACAAGAUCCAUGAAAUGCUAAACCAACUCGGAGCGCACCUAUAUACUGGGCACCCUUACGCUGUAGGCUUGUGCAGGGGCCUGGGUUCAGUUUUG